UUACGGUCACAUCAUGCUGAAACACUGGUUCCUGUAUGAUCACCAAAGUUAAGCAAUGUUGAACCUGGUCUGUACCUAGAUGGGUGAUCACUUGGGAAUACCAGGUGCUGUAAG